rnacentral:lncRNA from 1 species
AAGAUUGAGUGUGGUGGGGGGAAGGCGAAGAGAGAACUGAUCCAGGACCGGGACGCGGGGGUCUGCGGCGCCCCUACGCCCCCAGCCGUCCGCAGUGCCGGAAUGAGCCGGGUAGCGCCGGCAGGGGGCAGUGUGGCGAUAGAGGGGUUGCCGGGGGGAGGGGAGGGUCUCUGUUCACCUCUAUUUGAGGCUGACUGGGGAGAAAGCUGCCUGGAGGAAGCUGCUGCGGUGCGGGGGGCUGAGGGAUUUGGCUCCCCGCCCUCUCCCCUAGAUGGCGGAGAAAUCGGGCUAGCUGGAAGGGCGCAGCUCCUCUCCCAGAGCUCAUUCCGGAGUCGGAGAACUGGGAGAGCGGCCCCCGAGGCGGAGCCUCCCUCCCGCCCCGAGUCCUGCUGCCCCCCACCUGGGGGAGAGGGGCGGGCGCCGCGCUGCCUUCCAUCCGCGCAGGGCUGGCGCUCCGCAGACCAAACAGCGCCCACGACCCAGAGACAGCUGGCCACCGAAGUCCCUCCCCGGCGCCCUUCCCCAUUCCUUGAGGAUAGGGGAGCUGAGGUUUUCAUGUAAAGGGCGCCCAUGAAAUUCGUGGGAACUUGUUCUGGCGUCUUCUGGAGUGGAGUUCUUUCAGGG